rnacentral:rRNA from 1 species
AUUGAACGCUGGCGGCAGGCUUAACACAUGCAAGUCGAGCGGAGAUGAGGUGCUUGCACCUUAUCUUAGCGGCGGACGGGUGAGUAAUGCUUAGGAAUCUGCCUAUUAGUGGGGGACAACAUUCCGAAAGGAAUGCUUAUACCGCAUACGUCCUACGGGAGAAAGCAGGGGAUCUUCGGACCUUGCGCUAAUAGAUGAGCCUAAGUCGGAUUAGCUAGUUGGUGGGGUAAAGGCCUACCAAGGCGACGAUCUGUAGCGGGUCUGAGAGGAUGAUCCGCCACACUGGGACUGAGGCACGGCCCAGACUCCUACGGGAGGCAGCAGUGGGGAAUAUUGGAGAAUGGGGGGAACCCUGAUCCAGCCAUGCCGCGUGUGUGAAGAAGGCCUUAUGGUUGUAAAGCACUUUAAGCGAGGAGGAGGCUACUGAGACUAAUACUCUUGGAUAGUGGACGUUACUCGCAGAAUAAGCACCGGCUAACUCUGUGCCAGCAGCCGCAGUAAUAC